AUGUCACCUACAGACAAAAAAAAAAAAUAAUAAAUACAAUUCCCCACACAACAAUUGGCAGGCAGGCAGCAUCCCCCACAAACAGAUGCUGAGAGUGGCGUUUUAGUUUUCUCGUUGGGAAAUAUUGACCGUAUUUCGAUGGCUGAGUGUGAAUUGCAUAAGCAACAACAACAACAACAGCAACAGCAAAUACAAUAUUAAUACCAAGUGCAAGACAAUUAGCAACAAACAGAAAUUGGCACUCAGUUUUUCUUUACAAUUAUGCAAGUCUAUAUACUGCAUCGAUAACAAGGAAAACGAAGGAAAAACCAAUGUUUAUGCCAUAUAUAAUACGUUAAAAGUGUGGGAUUUCCGCGACCCUUUAACCACAUGAGUCCACGUUGUCAUUUUCAUUACGGAAAACCUGUGGGGGAAUGGCAAAUCAAUUCCCAAUACUUCAAUACUUUUAAAGAGGCAAGCGACGGGUCCUUCUCCUCCUCCCUCCCUACUCAUCCCAUUUUUGUUACUUUUAAUAUGUUUGAUAUUAAAAUGUUGAUAAGCGACGGGCAUAUACACACACACACACACACAUACAGGUUAAUGUGCUGUUGACCUGCAUUUAAAUAAUGAAAUUUACAACAGACUCAAAAGAAGAGAAGGAGCAAGCAAAGGGUGUAAGAAGGCAACCCAAAAACAAAGAUGAUGAUGGUGAUUAUGAUGAUGGGAAAGAGAUAGAUAGAGAGAGCGGCGAGAGAGUGUGAGCCAGUACAGACGACACACGCACACGCACACACGGGGCAGGUCCAACUCUUCUGAGUCACAUUUGCAUAUUAAUGAGCAACAUCAACAGACCCAGACGACAGGACAGGACAGACGUGAGAGAGGAGGGAGGGACGACAGACAGACAGACAGACAACAAACAUGCUGAUGAAAUGCAACAAAGAGACCAACAUCAGCCGAAAGCAUCAAGCUCAGCAGCACCAGCAGCAGGCAGCGCCGUCGCUCAUUGAAUGAAUUAUUCAAGUUUAUUCAAAAGAGCGACUAAAGCGAAAAAAAAACAAGUAAAAAAAGGAAUAAAGUAAAAUGGCGUUGCCCUUUCCAAGCUCAGGCCAAGUGUGAGGGAGACAGAGUGAGCUUUAAAGCUACGUUUAAGAAUUUCAGAGGCACAACAAUAUGGAGCUGCUGCUUCCGGUCCAGACGACAGCCAAACCACACACGCACACACACAUCCAGCGCAGAGGAUUUAGAAGAGAAAGAUUCGCAACAACAACAACGCCAAUCAUUAAUCAAUAUAAAAUUGAAAUAUUUACAUGAUUUUAAAAUGGAAUAACGGCAACGAAGACAGAGGAAGAGAGAGAGGGAAAGAUAUGAAUAGGGUCAUUAAUCAAAAUUAAGAGUCAUGGUGAAAAAAAUUCAAGAGAAAUGGUAGAAAAUUGUAUAAAAUAGGGAAGCUAAUACAUCACUUAAUUCGAUAUACUUUAUUUCUUAGUAGGAGAGCGCGUUCGUCUUCCCCCAUGUGCACUUAAAACUUCGUGCGACCCCCACUUAAAGAAGCCUUCAACGUAGAGAGUUCAUGGUGGUUCGUUCAUGUGGUUUUUGAAGGAUUAACAGAAGGUAAAACGAGCACACCUGUCGAAAAUUACACAGACACACACACACAGACAAACCAAGCCAUAACCAAACUGAUAUGUUGGGUCAAGCAACUGAGCCCCAUAAGGGUGAAUGAAUGACGAUGAACGUCAAGCUAUUGAUUUGUUUAUUUAACCAACAAUAAUACACAGAGGUAAAGGGACGGAGAGGAAGAAAAACCCCCCAAACUCAGACUUUAUAUUGUACGCCUGCGUGACAGGAUAAAAAAAUAACAACAGCCUGCAAGCAGAAGAAGAAGCAAAUGAUGAUGAUGAUGACUUGAACUGAUUUUACCUUGAACUCUAAGCUAAGCAACGACGAUGACGACGACGGCUGAGACAAAGGAGCAAAGAGCAAAGCAAAGCAACGCAGGAAGAACCACAAAAGUCAACACACAAUGGCGGCCAUUAAGAGAGUAAAACAAAUAUGAAUGUGGACAACACAAAACAAAAUACAAAAUAAAAACC